GCCCGGUUGGCGCAAUCGGUAGCGCGUGGGACUUUUAAGCUGUGGAGCUGGACUGCUGAAUGUGUGUUCCACUUAGGCUGAAUAUCCCAAGGUCGAGGGUUCGAGCCCCUCAUCGGGCG
rnacentral:tRNA from 1 species